rnacentral:lncRNA from 1 species
GCACUCUCCCCUUUAGGAUCUGGCCUGGACUUAGGCUACGAGAACUUGUUGACAAGUGAAAGCUUGGUAGAACCGCGGCCCGGUUUGUGUGUUUGUUUAUUUUUUACAAAGUGACUUCAUAUUUACUCUGGACCUCGUCUGUGCCCUUUGGGGGGACAUCGGCUCUGAUCAGCGCGCCAGCAGCCGCCGUCCGAGCUGCGGGGAAACGGGGCGCGCCCUCUGGGGGGCGAGUGGCAGUGUCCGAGCUAAUUUCCUCCGUAACCUUUAAACUCUCGCUGGAAGCCGUGGCGGCGGUUGAUCACGUGAGGCGAGCCCUGGGCUGCUGGGGAAGAAUUUCCUCCGCGGGGAGCCGGGGACGGGGACGGCUGCCUGGCGAGGGACGGCCCCGCGCCAGGGGACGCGAACCUGCGCGGGCGGGGCCGAGAGCGCGGAGGCCCGGGGCGCGGCCCGGGCCGGACUCCCCGGGGGACUGCGCAGGAAGAGGUCGUCUCUGCAACCUGCGAGCGGGGGUUAGUGCAAAUGGAAAAAGAAAACCUCGGUCCUCACUCGUGUACCAAUCAAGGCAGGCAGUUUGUAGCGACCGUGGUCUUUGAAGAUAUAAUGAAGUUCAAGAUCUUGAGAAGAGAUCAUUCUGGAUCACCCGGGUGGGCUAAAUCCAAAGACAAUACAAUGAAUAUACAGUGAAGCAGAUGGAGAUGGACACAGACACAGAGGAGAAGGCGAUGUAAAGACAGAGGCGAAGACUGGAGUGAUGAGGCCACAAGCCAAGGAAGCCAAAGAAUGUCGACAGCCCCCAGAAGCUGGAAGAGACUAGGAAAGGUUCUCCCCUGGAGCCUCCACAGAGAAUGAGGUCCUGUUGACAUCUUGACUUCAGACUUCUGGCUUCCAGAACUGCAGCAGCAGAAUGCCUUUGGAGUCCCUGGAAAGGAGCAAUCAGCCCUCUGAUAAAAUGGGUCUGGGCUAACUGUUUUUGAAGAAAUGCCACUCUGAAUAUGAAAUGACACAGAGCUUUAACAUGGCUCACUGGAGACCUGAGCUGCUCAAUUGCCCUGGGACCACAGAUCACUUGGAAAUGAAAAGAUAAUGAGAGUAGUUGCCCACUUCGGGCUUUGGGACUUGUUUCAACCAAGGUCUGGUGACUAGUACAGAACAUGGACAGCAUCCAGAUUCUAAGUCCCUGCCUGACCAGUUACCAGCUCUGUGAUUCCAAGUGAAUCACUUAAUGGCUCUGAGCCUCAGUGUCCUCAUCCAGAUGAAAGAGGCGAGUCAUCUCUGCCACCUACUCACAGUGUUGAUCUCAGACAAGAGAAGGUAUGUGAAAGCACAUUGAAAACUCUAGAAGCUGGUGCAGAUUUAAAUAAUAUCAUGGUGAAAAUCCUUGCCCCACCAGGAUGUUAGCUGUCACCUCAUUGCUCAGCAUUUAGCACUGAUCAGAGAUCCUGAACUCCAACAGCUUGUAGUUUGAUGUAGAGACAACAACUCUUUAUACC